rnacentral:rRNA from 1 species
UGGGGAAUAAUUGCACAAUGGGGGAAACCCUGAUGCAGCGACGCCGCGUGAGCGAAGAAGUAUUUCGGUAUGUAAAGCUCUAUCAGCAGGGAAGAUAAUGACGGUACCUGACUAAGAAGCCCCGGCUAACUACGUGCC